rnacentral:lncRNA from 1 species
CCCACUGGCCCCUCCGGGAGCUGGGACCUCCAGAAUUGGAGGCUGCGCCACAGAGGGGCGCUGUCUGGUCGGCCCGGUGUGGCUGGCGGCGUGCGGGUGCUCGCGGUCUCCUGCCGGGCUCCCCGCCCCCAGGAUUCUGCAGGUGCUCAUCGCUCUCUGGCCGGCGGUCAGCGCUACCGCUCGCCACGGGAAACCUACCCACUGCAUGAGGCACCAGCUAGCCACGUGAGGCUGUUUCUGUACACCCGAACCGCGCUCUUGCCCAGCAAAAGCGGCAGAACCUCGGCUCCCUUCCCUAAAUAAGAGGAUUUCUUGUGGCUCUCCUCCGCCUAUCCUAAAUGGCCGGAUUAGUUAUUAUUCUACCCCCAUUGCUGUUGGUACCGUGAUAAGGUACAGUUGUUCAGGUACCUUCCGCCUCAUUGGAGAAAAAAGUCUAUUAUGCAUAACUAAAGACAAAGUGGAUGGAACCUGGGAUAAACCUGCUCCUAAAUGUGAAUAUUUCAAUAAAUAUUCUUCUUGCCCUGAGCCCAUAGUAC